AGAGUUUGAUCAUGGCUCAGAACGAACGCUGGCGGCGUGCUUAACACAUGCAAGUCGAACGUGAUUCAGAGCUUGCUCUGAUGAAAGUGGCGCACGGGUGAGUAACGCGUGGAUAAUCUGCCCUGGUAUCUGGGAUAACAUCUCGAAAGGGGUGCUAAUACCGGAUAAGCUUACGGUUCCUUCGGUGACUGUGAGAAAAGAUGGCCUCUAUUUAUAAGCUAUCGUAUCAGGAUGAGUCCGCGUACCAUUAGCUAGUUGGUGGGGUAAUGGCCCACCAAGGCUACGAUGGUUAGCUGGUCUGAGAGGAUGAUCAGCCACACUGGAACUGAGACACGGUCCAGACUCCUACGGGAGGCAGCAGUGGGGAAUUUUGCGCAAUGGGGGAAACCCUGACGCAGCAACGCCGCGUGAGUGAUGAAGGCUUUCGGGUCGUAAAGCUCUGUCAGAGGGGAAGAAAUGGAAACGGUUAAUACCCGUUUUCCUUGACGGUACCCUCAAAGGAAGCACCGGCUACUCCGUGCCAGCAGCCGCGGUA
rnacentral:rRNA from 1 species